ensembl:lncRNA
AUGCUGUAUCUGAGUAGUGUCCACAUUGUAACACUGCUCAUGUCUCUUCAGGACCUCUCUGUAGAGGGUCUCUCGGUCGCCUCAGGAACAAGUGUGUCCGAAGCUUUAUCAAAACCUGUGGGCACAGUCAGAACACAGUCUCUGUGUGAAAGCAUGGAGCUCAUGGGACAGAGGGGGCUUGCAUGGAGGGGGGAUGACAGCCACCCAGAGGGGCUGAAGACACACAUCAGAGACACACACACACACCCAGGGGGCUCACCUGCUGCACAUAUACUCACAGAGGAUGUACAGACACUCACUGAGGUCACAGUGGACACAAGUGUCCCCAAAGACAUCCAGACAGUAACUCCAGUCAUUUUACCAACGAUGAGGCUGUCAAAGGUGGAUAGUAGGCUGGUGUUAUCUGAGGCAGAGCAGGCCUGUCUGGUUCAGCCACCCUCUGAGAAGGCUCUGGUUGUUCCAGAGCAGAGGCCCACAGUGCCCCAGCCAAUGCCCAGAAAGAAAAAAAGCGCACCUCAGACAGGGUUGCUCACGGCACCAUCCCAGCCUAUAGAAAUGGCACUCAAUGUAUCCACUGGACAGACACACACAGCCUCUGACCUCACACACCAGACACCUGUGCAAGUUGAGGCAUCUACCCCUCUAGCAGCACCUGAGGAGACACCCACCACCACCACCACCACCACCACCACCACCACCCUGUGCGUGGUCAGCACACACACUGUCCCCCAGACCACACUCAAACCCACCGGAGAGGACAUGGAGGGUGUGCAUCCAGCAGCAACCCUGGUAAGCACUGAAACGUCCCAGUACAAUACAGGCCCAACAGUCCUAACCCCUGCUAACCAUGCAACCACAGUGGUCUACGAGUGCACACACGAGUGGGUCUUAAACGAUGUUUCACAAAGACCUGGGUUCAAAUACUUUCUGAAAUUGUUUCAAGCACUUUACCUGUGCUUGAUUGAACUUGCCUGCUUAAUGGAACCAAUAGAAUGGUCCCAAAACUGCAAAACCACACCCAUCUGUCACUACAGGCAGAAUAAAGCAAACCUUCAAAGUAUUUGAAGUAUUUCAAAGAGUAUUUGUACCCAGGUCUGUUCACAACUGUAGUGUCACAUUAAUGGAAUGGGUUUACACAGUAAUGAUGCUGAUAAUUAUCGUAAUGAUGCACAUUUGUGAAUGAUUUCAAUAAUCCCUGUUGAGUGAUUCGUUUGAUGUAAAGUAAAGACUGUAAUGUACAGCAGUGUAGAGGGCUUGAGUGACUCAUGGUGCUAACCAUGGUGUUACAUCUUAUUCUCACACUCUCACACUGUCUGUGCCUCAAACAUCUAUAUGUGCAUAUGUGCUGACAGGAGAGAAACGGGAGAACAAAUUUAAAAGAACUGGCAUAACAGAAGAAAGAGGAAACAACAGCAGAUAGUACAUCAGAGAGAAAGAUAAAUGAUUGAAGGAGCGAAUAAGGAGGUUUGCCGAUUCAGUUGACUGAUCUGCCAGUAGAUCCACCUCCUCUGUCUCAGCCCCGCCCCCGUGGCCUGGGGCCUUUAACUGGGUGUGUGAUAAUGAGUCCCUGUCACCGGAGCUCCCUCUGAGCCUACCUGCCACCAGGAAGUGGCUUUGACCACAGAUGGGUGGGGCACCAUGGGUGAAAGAAAGAGAGAACUAGAGGCAGAGGCAGUCUGGGAGAGAGAGAGAAACAGACAGAGAAAAGAAAGAGAGAGACCCGAAAGACAGAGAAAAAGAAAGAGGGAGAGAGACAGACAGACAGAGAAAAAGAAAGAGGGAGAGAGACAGACAGGCAGACAGACAGACAGACAGAGAAAAAGAAAGAGACGGAGAAAGAGAGAGAGAGACAGAGAAAUAGUGAGGAGAAAAAAGAGAGAAAAAGAAAGAGAAUGGGGUGGUGUGAGAAGUAGAUUUUUAAGUGCCGAAAUCCCCAGGACAGUCAGCUGUAGCCUGAGUACUCACCGGCCAGUGCCUGUCAGUUACUGUCAGUGUAUACUAGUAUUAGUUAAGAAUGUCAUCCACUCCCUCUCCUCCUAUCUGCUGUCCCUACUAGCUGAUUGUGAGGGGGAGGUGAUUGGUACAGGAGGAAUCUCAGUGGCUGUGUGUCUGUGUCCCAGGCCCCAGGGGUGUUCCCAGCCCCAGCCUUGACUGGGCCCUGCCCCACUCUGGAGGUGCUUUAUGCCUACAGUGAGCAGGCCACCCAGCUAGAGGUUUGGCUGGAGAGAGCCCAGCACACCCUUGGAGUGCUGGAGCGGGCCGCCACUGCCAGCAUGCAGGACAGUGUGGAGCAGCAGCUCCUCACGUGCCAGGUAAGAACUGCAGACGGGUGUCAAAGUUCAGCUCUGUGGAGGGCCUGCCGAGUGGGGCUUUAUCCAGGAACUUCCCCAGGCAUGGUAGUUAAUAGCAAGGAUAUAAGAGACGCCUCAGUAUCAUAAACUUGUGUGUAUUCGUCUUAUCGGUUUGCUCAUGCUUUUCUUUAGCACAUGAGAGGGAUUCGGUAUCUACUUACAACCACAAAUAGCGGCGUCAUAUUAAUGAUGUACAUCACUGUCAGUCGUUCUGAUGUCAUGCCAGUCAUCUGCUUUGACUAUUAGGUUUAUUUCCUUAACAACCUCUAAUUUAUUAACCUGCCUUGUCCAUAGUUGAAAGUCUUUCUAAAUCACCAGUGAUCAAGGUUCAUCAACAGUCAUUUUCCUGCUUUUAGCUGCUUUGCCUACUGCUGCAGGUGGGAGUUGUUUUUUUUCAUUCAGUCUUAGUAAACACCACCGGUUGUUGGAUAGAUAGUGCUGCUGUUUCACAGGCAGAUAGGUUAGUGUUUGAAAUGAGGCAAGGUUGAACAAACAGUGAAGUCCAGCUAAUGUGUUGCUGGUAUUUGUCUUCAGGGUGCAGUGUAUUUUCUAAAGGUGCUGGCCACAUGGCCACGAUCAGUUGUACUAGAUAGGCUUUUGUCAAGUGCACUAACUGUUCUGAUUUGCAGGGAAUUACUCCAAAUGGCUAUUUGUAAAUGGAAUUAGCUAAUAGCUUUACAGUCUCAUUUCCUUGCAUGACCUUAGACAUGCUAAACAAAGACAUGCAGCAAUGAAGCAUUAGUUAUGAUUGCUGUGGU